CAAUAAUUAUUAAGUACUUUCUUAAUCUCAUUAAUGGAGCUUUCUUGGUUCUUGGACUUUUAUUCAUGGGAUUUGGUGCAUGGCUUUUAUUAGAUAGAAAUAAUUUUUUAACAGCUUUUGAUGAAAAUAAUCACUUCAUAGUAUCUAUUUCUAAAAUUUUGAUUGGAAUGGGAUCUUCUACUGUUCUUUUUUGUCUAUUGGGUUAUAUAGGAAUUCACAACGAAAUCAGAUGGCUCCUAAUUGUGUAUGCAGUAUUGAUAACAUGGACCUUUGCUGUUCAGGUUGUACUUUCAGCAUUCAUCAUCACAAAGAAAGAGGAGGUUCAGCAACUAUGGCAUGACAAAAUUGAUUUUGUCAUUUCUGAGUAUGGAUCUAAAGAUAAGCCUGAAGAUAUAACCAAGUGGACUAUUCUGAAUGCCUUACAGAAAACAGUAAGAUGAAAUUAACUAAAAAAUUAGAUGUCAGUGUUGACCACUGUGGGACAGAAGAGAGAAUAGGUCAGGGCAGGGGAUGGAGCAGAGGAAUGAGAGUUUGUUGUAUUUCUUUCAAACAAACUGGGCAAAAAGGGCAUUCUCCACACUUACAAAUCUUGAUUUAUAUCCUCCUUUUGUAACUCCUAUCUUCUUUUCUGUGUUAAUGGAUGUGCAUUUUAACUUAGUUUCACCUGGAAAAGUGCUGCUGGUCUUUUGCCAAGUGGGAUAGUCUAU
rnacentral:lncRNA from 1 species